CAACAGGGAUUGCCUUAGUAACUGCGAGUGAAGCGGCAAAAGCUCAAAUUUGAAAUCUGGCGUCUUUGGCGUCCGAAUUGUAAUUUGGAGAGGCAUCUUCGGUGAUGGCGCUGUCCUAAGUUCCUUGGAACAGGAUGACAUAGAGGGUGAGAUCCCCGUGCCUGGGUGGCUGUCCAUCUCCAUGUGAAGUGUCUUCGACGAGUCGAGUUGUUUGGGAAUGCAGCUCAAAAUGGGUGGUAAAUUUCAUCUAAAGCUAAAUAUUGGCGAGAGACCGAUAGCGCACAAGUAGAGUGAUCGAAAGAUGAAAAGCACUUUGAAAAGAGAGUUAAAAAGUACGUG
rnacentral:rRNA from 1 species